GCGUCGUCCUCGCUGCCGCAGGGUAGUGUGUGUCUGCGCGCAGCCUCCUCGCCGCCGCAGGGUACUGUGUGUCUGCGCGCAGCGUCUUCACCGCCGCAGGGAAGUGUCUGAAUGUCCACAGUGUUGGAAGUAGGAUGGUAGAUCCCGGACGAGCCCCCAUUUUGUUACGGCUGGCUCGACUGGCCGCAACAAACAAAGUCCAGAUGCAUCAAAAACAAGACAGAAACUGAUCUAAAAACAAACCCAGACAUUUAUUAAUCUAAAUUACAAACAAAAACACACAAAGUUUACAAAACCAAAGCUCUCCACACAAAUCACAAACCCCAAAAGAAAAUCUCCCCUGUACAUUGAGCCCAGUGACAUCUUCAAGAUGCACUCUCAGUCUUUGGCUGUAGUCGGUGCUCAUUUAAUCAGAUCACAAAACACAAUUUGUUUAUAUAGCGCUUUUCAUGCAAGACUGCAUGAAAAGCAGCAGCAACACUGAAUACAUAAAAACGACAAAACGACAUAGAUAGGAGCUAAUUAAAUAUAUAAGAGCAGAAGUUGGCACAAAAUCCCAAAAACAGAUCGGCCCCUUUUGUGCACUCCUGCACUAGAGUAACACCACCUCAGUCAUUUUUACCUCUGCUGGAGGACUUUCCCCGGAAAGAAACGCCUGCCCCCACGUUAGCCUGUGUGAGCGAGGGUACCAUCAGCCAGGCCAGGAGCGACGGGAUCCGUUUCCGUGGAGACCAUUUCCGCCAUUCCAGAGUGAUGAGAUCCAUUUCCAUGGAGACCAUUUCCACCGUUCCGAAGUGAUGAGAUCCAUUUCCAAGGAGACCAUUUCCGCCAUUCCAGAGUGAUGAGAUCCAUUUCCAAGGAGACCAUUUCCGCCAUUCCAGAGUGAUGGGAUCCACUUCCAUGAAGAACAUUUCUACCAUUCCAGAGCGACGAGAUCCAUUUCUGCGGGGACCAUUUCCACCAUUCCAGAGUGACGAGAUCCAUUUCCGUGGAGACCAGGACGACAUAGCUCAGGAGAGUGACGGGAUCCGUUUCCGUGGAAACCAUUUCCAUCCUUCCAUGAGUGAAGAGAUCCGUUUCCGUGGAGCCAUGUGUUCGCCUGUGAGGACUGAACAUGUGGCUGUGACAUCACUUCUCUGAGAUACAACAAGGAGGAAGUGGAUAACUUACCAAAGAAUCCCAAAACACAGGAACUCCACACGGAACAAGCACAUGACAUCACAGACCCAACGCAUGACAUCACAACCAGGAUGGCAACAUCUGGACGACCAGGCUGAGACUACAGGAACCAAGCUGAGAACAUCAUAGCAGGCUCACAUGGGGACAAGCUUUCUUUCCGCCCUUUUCUCUUCCUUUCUUUUUCCUGUCCUUUAAUAAAAGGACUGGAAAUGUAAUAAAA